UACGUAGGGGGGCAAGCGUUGUCCGGAUUUAUUGGGCGUAAAGAGCGUGUAGGCGGCUUGGCAAGUCCGCUGUGAAAACUCGAGGCUCAACCUCGAGACGUCGGUGGAAACUGCCUCGCUAGAGUCCGGAAGAGGAGAGUGGAAUUCCUGGUGUAGCGGUGAAAUGCGCAGAUAUCAGGAAGAACACCAAUGGCGAAGGCAGCUCUCUGGGACGGUACUGACGCUAAGGCGCGAAAGCGUGGGGAGCGAACAGG
rnacentral:rRNA from 1 species